rnacentral:rRNA from 1 species
GACGUAGGGCGCGAGCGUUGUCCGGAUUUAUUGGGCGUAAAGAGCUCGUAGGCGGCUUGUCGCGUCGACCGUGAAAACUUGGGGCUCAACCCCAAGCCUGCGGUCGAUACGGGCAGGCUCGAGUUCGGUAGGGGAGACUGGAAUUCCUGGUGUAGCGGUGAAAUGCGCAGAUAUCAGGAGGAACACCGAUGGCGAAGGCAGGUCUCUGGGACGGUAUUGACGCUAAGGCGCGAAAGCGUGGGGAGCAAACAGG